AGAGUUUGAUCCUGGCUCAGGACGAACGCUGGCGGCGCGCCUAACACAUGCAAGUCGAACGGAGCUGAGAGAAGCUUGCUUUUCUUAGCUUAGUGGCGAACGGGUGAGUAACGCGUGAGUAACCUGCCCUGGAGUGGGGGACAACAGUUGGAAACGACUGCUAAUACCGCAUAAGCCCACGAUCCGGCAUCGGAUUGAGGGAAAAGGAUUUAUUCGCUUCAGGAUGGACUCGCGUCCAAUUAGCUAGUUGGUGAGGUAACGGCCCACCAAGGCGACGAUUGGUAGCCGGACUGAGAGGUUGAACGGCCACAUUGGGACUGAAACACGGCCCAGACUCCUACGGGAGGCAGCAGUGGGGGAUAUUGCACAAUGGGGGAAACCCUGAUGCAGCGACGCCGCGUGGAGGAAGAAGGUUUUCGGAUUGUAAACUCCUGUCGUUAGGGACGAUAAUGACGGUACCUAACAAGAAAGCACCGGCUAACUACGUGCCAGCAGCCGCGGUAAAACGUAGGGUGCAAGCGUUGUCCGGAAUUACUGGGUGUAAAGGGAGCGCAGGCGGACCGGCAAGUUGGAAGUGAAAACUAUGGGCUCAACCCAUAAAUUGCUUUCAAAACUGCUGGCCUUGAGUAGUGCAGAGGUAGGUGGAAUUCCCGGUGUAGCGGUGGAAUGCGUAGAUAUCGGGAGGAACACCAGUGGCGAAGGCGACCUACUGGGCACCAACUGACGCUGAGGCUCGAAAGCAUGGGUAGCAAACAGGAUUAGAUACCCUGGUAGUCCAUGCCGUAAACGAUGAUUACUAGGUGUUUGGAGGAAUUGACCCCUUCAGUGCCGCAGUUAACACAAUAAGUAAUCCACCUGGGGAGUACGACCGCAAGGUUUGAAACUCAAAGGAAUUGACGGGGGCCCGCACAAGCAGUGGAGUAUGUGGUUUAAUUCGAAGCAACGCGAAGAACCUUACCAGGUCUUGACAUCCGAUGCAUAGUGCAGAGAUGCAUGAAGUCCUUCGGGACAUCGAGACAGGUGGUGCAUGGUUGUCGUCAGCUCGUGUCGUGAGAUGUUGGGUUAAGUCCCGCAACGAGCGCAACCCUUAUUGCCAGUUACUACGUAAGAGGACUCUGGCGAGACUGCCGUUGACAAAACGGAGGAAGGUGGGGAUGACGUCAAAUCAUCAUGCCCUUUAUGACCUGGGCUACACACGUACUACCAUGGCGUUUAACAAAGAGAAGCAAGACCGCGAGGUGGAGCAAAACUCAAAAACAACGUCUCAGUUCGGAUUGUAGUCUGCAACUCGACUACAUGAAGCUGGAAUCGCUAGUAAUCGCGAAUCAGCAUGUCGCGGUGAAUACGUUCCCGGGUCUUGCACUCACCGCCCGUCA
rnacentral:rRNA from 1 species